rnacentral:lncRNA from 1 species
UAGAUGGCACUGUUAAAAAUAUAUAAACUUUGAUGCCAUUCUUUCUAGUCUUUUUUUUUCUGUGCCAAGUUUUGGCGUGACGGCCAUACCUUUGAUAGUACUCUUUUUUUUAUUCUCGGAAAUGACGUGUAUCAACUAUAUUUUUAAUCAAUCGUUUAUUUAUAAAUUUGAUUAUAUUGAUAUAUGUAUUUCCAUUGAAAAAGAGAGAAAAAAAUAAAAAAAGAUUUAUCUGGA